rnacentral:rRNA from 1 species
UACGAGGGAUCCUAGCGUUGUUCGGAAUCAUUGGGCGUAAAGAGUAUGUAGGCGGCCUAGUAAGUCAGUUGUGAAAGCCCCGGGCUCAACCCGGGAAGUGCAAUUGAUACUGCUUGGCUUGAAUGUGGAAGAGGGCAGUAGAAUUCCAGGUGUAGUGGUGAAAUGCGUAGAUAUCUGGAGGAACACCGGUGGCGAAGGCGGCAUCCUGGACCGGUAUUGACGCUGAGGCGCGAAAGCCAGGGGAGCAAACGGG